UAGGGAAUCUUCCGCAAUGGACGCAAGUCUGACGGAGCAACGCCGCGUGAGUGAAGAAGGAUUUCGGUUCGUAAAACUCUGUUGUUAGAGAAGAACAGCGCAUAGAGUAACUGUUAUGCGUGUGACGGUAUCUAACCAGAAAGCCACGGCUAACUACGUGCCAGCAGCCGCGGUAAUACGUAGGUGGCAAGCGUUGUCCGGAUUUAUUGGGCGUAAAGCGAGCGCAGGCGGUCAAUUAAGUCUGAUGUGAAAGCCCCCGGCUCAACCGGGGAGGGUCAUUGGGAACUGUUUAACUUGAGUGCAGAAGGGGAGAGUGGAAUUCCAUGUGUAGCGGUGAAAUGCGUAGAUAUAUGGAGGAACACCGGUGGCGAAAGCGGCUCUCUGGUCUGUAACUGACGCUGAGGCUCGAAAGCGUGGGUAGCAAACAGG
rnacentral:rRNA from 1 species